UGGAAAAGGAAAAUGUUUGUCUGCCCAGCUCUGCCUAUAAUUUCUGGUAGAACUACUUGUUUCCAAGCAGUUUUGUAACCUCCAGAUUGGUGACAAUCUUUAGUUGAAGUCAUCUUCCAUUGUUCAGAGAAUUGUUUAGUUGAAGUAGGUAAGAGAUUAGUUUUGUAUGCAUUAUACUGUGGAUUAUUUUUAUAUAGUAGAUUAGGAAAUUGUUGGCGGGAU